rnacentral:lncRNA from 1 species
GUCCUCCUGAUUUGUAGAGAAGCCUUGAAGCCUUUCCUUGACCACUCAGUAAAGAGUUCCUGAGCACUUUCAAGGUGCUGCUCGAAGCAGAGACGUCAUAAUGGACAGCUCCUGGCCUCAUGGGCCGUGAAGGCUGAGGGCUGACCACGGCUCCUUUGAUCACCAUGUCUCCUUCAGGCCCCUACUCUCCCUCAGUGGGAGCUGGAAUCUCACAGUUCUCCCUCCAGUAGUGAACCAUUACGUAUCUGGAUGGUUUUCUUCCAGGUCCUCAAUGUUUUCAUCAUAGCCCUGCCCUCAGAUUGACAUUAAAAAUAAAAAAAAAAUUUAUGUCAUCUAUAAAAGCAUUGAUUGAACACCCGUCUUUUCUAAGAAAAGAUAGAAGUUUAUGGUUGUCUCAUCGCAGCCAACCAGCAUGUUAUUCCUGUGCUAGCAAGGAGACACCGCAGACCUCUGGCUUUGUGAUUUCACACAUUGGCAAGCUGAGAGAUUUUCUUCUGGAACAUAGAAAAGAUUAUAUUAAUGCUUAUAGUCAUGUCAUGUCUGAAUACGGGAGAAUGACGGACACAGAACGAGACCAGAUAGACCAAGACGCUCAGACGUUCAUGAGGACCUGCUCAGAAGCGAUCCAGCAGCUGAGAACACAAGCCCACAAGGAGAUACACUCUCAGCAAGUGAAGGAGCACAGGACUGCCGUUUUGGAUUUCAUUGAAGAUUACUUAAAAAGAGUGUGUAAACUUUACUCAGAACAAAGAGCCAUCCGAGUCAAGCGAGUGGUGGACAAGAAAAGAUUGUCUAAGCUGGAACCAGAACCAAACGCAAAGACAAGAGAAUCCAUGUCUUCUGAGAAAGUUUCACAGAGUCCAUCAAAAGACUCUGAAGAAAAACCUAUCCCUGAAGAAUAUCCAGAAAAGGUUCCAGUCGAAGCACAACCUGAAUUGGGAAGCUGGGGAGAUGGCAAAGGUGAAGAUGAAUUAUCCCCAGAGGAAAUACAAAUGUUUGAACAAGAAAAUCAGCGCCUGAUUGGUGAAAUGAACAGCCUGUUUGAUGAAGUGAGGCAAAUUGAAGGGAAAGUGGUUGAAAUCUCCAGACUCCAAGAGAUCUUCACAGAGAAGGUUUUACAGCAAGUAAGAAAAAAUAAUGUUUUCAGUUUUAACUUAAAGGGACAUCUACUCAGAACUUGGGACAUUUCUCCUGAAGUCAUCAGGCCUCCGCAACUGUUUCCUUGUGGCUUAGCUGGUAAAGAAUAUGCCUUCAGUGCAGGAGACCUGGGUUCGAUUCCUGGCUUGGGAAGAUUUGCUGGAGAAGGGAUAGGAGACCACAGUUCGAUUCCUAGGUUGGGAAGAUCCCCUGGAGAAGGGAUAGGCUACCCACUCCAAUAUUCUUGGGCUUCUUUGAUGGCUCAGCUGGUAAAGAAUAUGCCUUCAGUGCAGGAGUUGAAUCCCUGGGUUGGGAAGACCCUCUGGAGAAGGGAACAGCUACCACUCCAGUAUUCCGGCCUAGAGAAUUCCAUGGACUGUGGGACAACUUUCCACGUGCCCCAGCCCCAUGCAGCAGAGCCCGUGGGCAAGGGAGGCAGCUAG